UACGGGGGGAGCAAGCGUUGUUCGGAUUUACUGGGCGUAAAGGGCGCGUAGGCGGCCACCGCAAGUCGACUGUGAAAUCUCCGGGCUUAACCCGGAAAGGUCAGCCGAUACUGCGGGGCUAGAGUGCAGAAGGGGCAACUGGAAUUCUCGGUGUAGCGGUGAAAUGCUUAGAUAUCGUCAAGAACACCGAUAGCGAAGGCAGCUUACUGGGCUGUAACUGACGCUGAGGCACGAAAGUGUGGGGAGCAAACAGG
rnacentral:rRNA from 1 species